rnacentral:rRNA from 1 species
UACGUAGGUGGCAAGCGUUGUCCGGAUUUACUGGGCGUAAAGGGUAUGCAGGCGGGUUUUUAAGUAGAAAGUGAAAGGUUGGAGCUCAACUCCGACACUGCUUUCUAUACUGGGAGCCUUGAGUGCCGGAGAGGAAGAGGGAACUGCACGUGUAGCGGUGAUAUGCGUUGAGAUGUGCAGGAACACCAAAUGGCGAAAGCACUCUUCUGGACGGUUACUGACGCUGAGAUACGAAAGCCAAGGGAGCGAACAGG